ensembl:lncRNA
GAGAGAGAGAUGGAGAGAGAGAGGGAAAUAGAGGGUGAGAAAGAGAAACUAAAAUAAAUCACCUGGCUUUGGUGAGUAGCCCUCGGUCAUGUUUACUUCCUUACUGGUCUAACAGGCUGCAGGGGAGUCUCAGGGAAACCUUAAGGAUGUUGCAGACCCUGAGGAUGCAGGAGACUUCAGAGGCCGCGACCCUGAGGAUGCAGGAGACUUCAGAGGCCACGACCCUGAGGAUGCAGGAGACUUCAGAGGCCACGACCCUGAGGAUGCAGGAGACUUCAGAGGCCACGACCCUGAGGAUGCAGGAGACUUCAGAGGCCACAACCCUAGAGAUGCAGUACACUUCAGAGGACAAGACACGGUCUGGACGGAAAAGCUCUUGAAACCUGAGAAAAAAUAAGAGAGGAAAUAAGACAACCACAACUCAUGACAUCACAACCACAGGCCAACUCAUGACAUCACAACCACAGGCCAACUCAUGACAUCACAACCACAGGCCAACUCAUGACAUCACAACCACAGGCCAACUCAUGACAUCACAACCACAGGCCAACUCAUGACAUCACAACCACAGGCCAACUCAUUACAUCACAACCACAGGCCAACUCAUGACAUUACAUUUGUUUAUCCAGCAGGCUUUCUCAGCCAAAGUCACUGACAAUCACACAUGUUUUAGAUGGAACGCUCACAGGAGGAGCUGUGAGCAAGAUUAAAACUCCAGUCAUCCAUAUGAGGGUAGUCUUACCCAGGGUGCG